rnacentral:rRNA from 1 species
UACAGAGGGGGCAAGCGUUGUUCGGAUUCACUGGGCGUAAAGGGUGCGUAGGCGGUUGGGUAAGUCUGUCGUGAAAUCUCCGAGCCUAACUCGGAAACUGCGUCGGAUACUAUUCAACUCGAGGAAUGGAGGGGAGACUGGAAUUCUCGGUGUAGCAGUGAAAUGCGUAGAUAUCGAGAGGAACACCAGUGGCGAAGGCGAGUCUCUGGACAUUUCCUGACGCUGAGGCACGAAAGCCAGGGGAGCAAACGGG